rnacentral:rRNA from 1 species
UUAGAGUUUGAUCAUGGCUCAGGAUGAACGCUGGCGGCGUGCUUAACACAUGCAAGUCGACGAAGCACCUCUAAUUGAAGAUUGACGAAGCUUGCUUCUGAUUGAUUCGCCUUGAGGUGAUGAGUGGCGGACGGGUGAGUAACGCGUGGGUAACCUACCCUAUACAGGGGGAUAACAGUUGAAACAGCUGCUAAUACCGCAUAAGCGCACAGCUUCGCAUGAAGCAGUGUGAAAAACUCCGUGGUAUAGGAUGGACCCGCGUCUGAUUAGCUAGUUGGUGAGGUAACGGCUCACCAAGGCACGAUCAGUAGCCGACCUGAGAGGGUGACCGGCCACAUUGGGACUGAGACACGGCCCAAAUCCUACGGGAGGCAGCAGUGGGGAAUAUUGCACAAUGGGCGAAAGCCUGAUGCAGCGACGCGCGUGAACGAAGAAGUAUUUCGGUAUGUAAAGUUCUAUCAGCAGGGAAGAAAAAUGACGUACCUGACUAAGAAGCUCCGGCUAAAUACGUGCCAGCAGCCGCGGUAAUACGUAUGGAGCAGCGUUAUCCGGAUUUACUGGGUGUAAAGGGAGCGUAGGCGGUGGUUUAAGUCUGAUGUGAAGCCCGGGGCUCAACCCCGG